CAACAACAACAACAACAACAAUAAUAAUAAUAAUAACAAUAAUAAUAAUGAUGAUAAUAGGCUACAGAAGAAGAAGGGGGGAAAAAACAAUUAUAUCUAAAUGUAAGACUCCUGAAGUGCAUGCACUGAACCGAACUGAGUCCAUUAACAUGCGCUGCACGCCGACAGCCUACAUUUCAUUUGAAAUUCAAAUUUAAUAAAGUGGCGUGUUUUAAUCACGCGUAGUUUUAUUUGCAUGAUAUGACGUGUAUCCUGUCCGGGCCUGCAUACGCUGUCUGACCAAGCUGGUUAUUGCGAGAGAGAAAGAAACGACACAAGUCUAUUAAAUCCCUGUCGCUUUAUCUGGAUAUCAGACUGGGACCAGUGAGGCCAGUACACUCUUGAGAGGGAGACCAGAAAUCCUGUACUUCAGUUUGAAGUUUGACCUUCAUUGAUCAUGACGAAUCACAGUGAAGAGACAGGAGAUACAGGUCAUGGAGAAACAGCCUAAUGGAAACAUCUCAACAUAUUAACUGAUUCAGAAUGCAGAAGCACGCCUCGCCUUCAACCAGCCCAUGUAACCCAUGUAACACCCCUCUUCAUCUCCCUCCACUGGCUUCCUGUAGCCGCCCGUAUCAAAUUCAAGGCCUUGAUGCUCACCUACAAGACCUUGUCUGGAACAGCACCCUCCUACCUCAACACUCUCCUUGAGGCUUACAUGCCCUCACGCAAUCUGCGAUCAAUUAAAAACUGACGCUUAGUAGUGCCUACUCAGUGUGGCUCAAGGUCGCUUUCCAGAACCUUCACACUAAAUAUCUCUCAGUGGUGGAAUGAACUUCCAACCUCAAUCCGGACCACAGAAUCUCUCACCAUCUUCAAAAAACAGCUAAUGACCCACCUCUUCUGUGGACACAUAACUAACCCCUAAAAUGCCAACCCCACAUUAUCCUUUUUUAUAAUAUUAAUAAUAAUAAAAACCUUACUCUCAUACACCUCUACUCUGCGCACUUUGCUUUCCUAGAACUCAAUUAAAGAUCUUGUACAGUAGCACUACUUGUAUUGUUCUCCACUUGAUUUAUCGCUUUGCUUGUAUUUCAUCAUUUGUAAGUCGCUUUAGAUAAAAGCGUCUUCUAAAUGAAUAACUGUAAACUGUAAAGUAGACUACUUUCAAAUAUUAUAUUUCUAAGUUUAGAAUGUCUAAAUAUGAAAAUAUUGCCAUUUCUAUUCAGAGGAUGAUUCCGGGAGUAAUUCCCCUUAUUACUUUCCACCGUUCUAUUGUUUUAAGCCCAAUCUGGCAUCAUUUUCAUAAAUCAGCAUCACAUGCACUGAGAGUUUUAA